rnacentral:lncRNA from 1 species
CAUAACAUUUUUUCUCUUCUCCGAUCUGCCUCCCAAUCGAAACCAAACAGCAGCCCUUCCCCUUUUGAUAUAUUUUUUUCCUCAACCAGUCGACAGCCCCCCCCCAGAAAACCCCUCUGAUUAUUUUUUCUUUCUUUCUUCCUCAGCCAUCCGAAGAACCCAGCGGCGGCUGAAGAGCAGCGGCGCCGUCCCUCUCCAUCCCCGCUGUCUUCUUCCUCAUCUUCCCCGUCACCAGCAGCAUCGCUCAACAGACUUGGGGCGAUCUGUUUUCUUUAUCUAGCAGGUCCGCCAUCUUCUUCUUCGGUCUUCUCACAACAACCGAACAGGGACACAGCAUCCAGCCCUCCCCAUCACCAGAUCGUCUCCUCCUCUGGUUGCGCCCACAGAAACCAGCCCUCGUACGGCGGCGCCCAACCGACGAUCAGCCACUCUCCUCCUCCACGACCGAUCUGCCAUCGGAGAAGAAGAUGAAGCAAGAACAGAUCGGACAAGAAGAAGCAAAAUCCGAAGCAGAUUUGAAGGAGAAGAGAAGCAGAUCUAAAAUUUUUUUAAUUAAAAUCAACUGUCAUUUGAGUUUCUUGGAUUUGCAGGUGGUGAGUUUUCUCACGGGCAGCAGGAGAUUGAAGAGGGGAAGAAGGCGAUCCAGAACCCUGCUGUUGGAUUUUUUUCUGGUGGCGGCGCGUGGAUCCACGCGCCGCCAGUGGCGGUGGUGCGUGAGAUCCACGCGCCGCCGGUGUUCAUGCGCCCAGAAAUCCGACUGACACUGUUCCGGAGGUGCAGAAGUUGUUUCUAGAUUGUUUAGGGGCUGUUUUGUAAUUUAAAAUUUAUUUGAUGUAUUUUUUUUAUUUGG